UCACAUGCUGAAACUGCUCCCAGUUCUUCUCCCAAGGCUUCCACGGUAUCGUUGGUGAGAUGUCACCUUUUAUUAGCAGGCUCGCUCUCGGAUACUCUAAUGCACAUUGAAAACACAAAAUGCACAUCAUCCAUCUUUCAUGUGACAGCUGCAUCCCACCUUCUGAACUUCCAAGCUCCUGGCACACCUGGGUCAAGGCUCUGCUAAUAAAAUGAUGCCGAGUGACAGGGGGAGAGGGAGUCAACUGACUACAAGCAUUUGAUAAACUGUUACCUGCAAUUUCUUGCAUUUGUUGCCUCGGGCAAAGGCACUAAAGAGGAAACAAGUCACUGCAAGCCCCGUUUGUCCAACUGGUGGUUACUGUGGUCAAAAUCCAUGUUUGCAAAGGCAAAGGAGAAAGAGCUUUUCAGAGUUUCCAGAAGAACCCACAGACCUGAAUUUUUAUGUGCGGCAGAAGACACAGAAAAAAAGAUAGGAAUGUUCAACUUAGGCUCUUCUCUGGGAUCAGCAUCAUAUGGAAGAGAUAAAAAUAGAAGCUAAAAAAACCAGCAGUUGAUCCAGACUGAAACUGUCUUCUGCUCCUGGAACUAUUCCUGGCUCAGAGAGGAAAAGAGGGAGAAAAGAGAAGUGUCCCACCUUGGAGAUGACUCAAUGGAGAAGGGAGUAGAAUGCCACAUGGGCUCUCUGGUCCCAAGUGCCCGGGAGUUUGCCACACCUCAGGUGUUUAUAGGUGUGACUGUGGGGCUCACACAAACCCUUGCAGGCCUCUGCCAGUGGCUGCUGGAAACAGAAGCCAUCCCUUUUAGUCUCAGUCAUUCUGUAUGAGAAUGAACUAAGAUGCAUUCCACAAAGCACUUGAUAGAGAGGAAAACUCUUAGGUAGGAAAUUACUUCUCAGUACGCCACUUGAGAAUGUGGAAUUCCUGCUCAGCUUACAGUGUCCUCAGCAAAAAUUAGAGAUUGAGAGCACAAACAGAGUGAAACAGUCAAAGUGACCUCAAUACAGAGGAACAGAGUUAAAAAAAAAAAAAAAAGAAAAAA